UGGGAUGAAAUUAUCAUGCUAGCGUAGCGUUAUUUUACGAGUAGCCAGGCUACAAGGCCCUGCUAGCUAGCGUUGUUAGCUACGCUAGCUGAUAUGUAGCUAGCUAACGUUAGAUUGCGACUUUCUUUAAAACAAAUACUAAUUCAGUGUUUAAUGUUGUAUGGUGCAUUUUGCUUGUGCAUUUUCUUAGGUAACUAAAACGCUGACAAUGUGGCUGUUCAACUGAACUAACCGGCUAGCAUACACAGUGGCUAGCUAACGUUAGGAACCGUGCUAUGGUGGGCUGUUUAUUUUUUUGUUUGACCUUUCAUUUAACUAGGCAAAUCAGUUAAUAAGAGCAAAUUCUUAUUUUCAAUGACGGCCUAGGAACAGUGUGCUAACUUCCUCAAGUGAUGGCAUAGCUUUUGGUUUUUCUAACUAGUUUCACGUAUCCUGAUUUGUUCUAGCCAGAUGAGUGCGUUUCGCACUGGUUGCUUUGUGACGGUUUUCUUCUCUUCUCUGCAUUUAACUGAAAUGUCGCCCCCUCCAAUUAUGUUAAUGGUCGAUGAUUAUGAAACCCUGAAUCACGGUGUGCGACUGGAGAUUUUUUAUCUCGCUCGCCGUAAAAAGUAAUCUAUCUAGUUUAUACAAAUUAUAUAUUUUUAUAGGUGUCAGUAUAUGUUGGCGUUAAAUUGACCAAUGGCGUGUGUGUGCUCUACAUGAAAUGUAUUUUGUGGCAUGACGUUUUGACUAGUAGCCGUCACAGUAGGGUGUGGGCUGCUUCUUUUUGAUUUGUGCAGCAGAACGACUAAUCAUACUCAAGUAUGCCAGAUAUUACUCUUAUGCCUAUGGUGCAUUUCCAGUAGACUUUACCCUGGUGAUUGGACUGAAGACUUGUUUUUUUCCACCUCUGAGGCCUGGCCCCCCAAAAAUCGAAAGGUCUUGGGCCGUGAACUUACUCAGGCCAGACCUGGGAAAGUAACUUUUUUUCCAGAACAUGGUUAACACAAAGUGGUGCUGUUUGUGCUGUUGUCGGAAUGGCGGUGGUCAUCCAUUUACAGGGGCUCAGAAUCACUGCAGGUUCUGAGGAUGUUCGCAAUUUCUUCACUGGCCUCAAAAUCCCAGAUGGUGGGGUGCACAUUAUUGGUGGGGAGCGUGAGGAGGCUUUCAUAAUCUUUGCUUCCGAUGAAGACGCGAGGCGGGCGAUGACCCGUUCGGAGGGAUCCAUCAAAGGUUUUCCGGUUCACUUACGGCUGAGCAGCAAGUCAGAAAUGCAGGCCGUUCUCAAGCAAAGUAUAAAACCCGAGGUGACCAAAAAGAGGCCGUAUAAGGAAGGUUUCAGAAGACCGGAAAGAGAAGGCAGGAAUGAGGAACCUGGAAGAAAAGAGCUUGUAGAGAUGGGCAGUAGAUCAGGGUCUUACAGUAAUGUACGUAGUCAGGCCCGAAAGCCUUCCUCACAGCCCAUCAGUCAAGAUGACUUGUAUUUGCUUAUGCAAGGCAUGCCUUUUACUACGAACGAAGACGACGUGAAAGAAUUCUUUAGCGGAUUAGAGGUGGAGGACAUUAUUAUAAUGAGAAAUGACCGCGGCCAACCAAAUGUGAAAGGAAUUGUCAAGUUCAAAUCCAGACGGGAUGCUAGAGAGGGUCUGAAAAGAAAUCGGCAUUACAUUGGAACUAGGUUUGUGGAAAUCGAUGUAUGCUCAGAAGAGCAGUAUUUUAAGGCAGAUGUUGGUAGGGAACAGAUGUUGGCAUGGAACAGCAGUGGUACGUUUAGAAGAGGGCCUUCCUCAGCUCCCACUGAGAGGUCUCCUCCAGACCGUGCUAGGUCUUUCUCACCAGUGGCCUACAGGUCUAAGUCCCCUUCUCCUUCCAAUGAUGAGUUCUGUGUCUUGGUGGAAAACCUUCCCUACUUAGUGGAGAAGAGGGACAUAAAGGAGAUCUUCAUUCAUGCAGACCUCAAGUAUGAUCAGAUCCUUCACCUUCUUGACAAGUAUGGGUCAGAGACAAGGUCCGCAUUUGUGCUGUUCAACAACCUGAGGGACUACGGUGCUGCCUUGACUCUUCACAAGAAGAAAUUUCUCAAACGAUGUGUGUACAUCUCUCCUAUCUCGAAAGAGAAAAUGGUCACCAUGCUAGAAUCUGGGGGAAAUACAAUGGAGGGCACACCACCCUCUGAAAGGUCUUCCAGCCGAUCUCAGGAAAGGCCUCCAAGAGAGACCGAGAAGGAUGUGUAUGAAUCUGAGAAGAUUUGCCUGUAUGUGCGAAACCUGCCUUUCGACGUGCGCAAAGUUGAGAUUGUGGACUUCUUCCUAGGCUUCAGAAUCUCAGAGGAGGCUGUUGUUUUGCUGCUUGACCAUAAGGGCAAUGGGCUUGGAGAGGCUUUGGUGAUCUUUCAGACUGAGGAGGAGGCUAUGAGGGCACAGUCUCUGAAUGGGCAAGGGUUUCUUGGAACAAAUCUCAUCCUGAAAUGCAUUUCUCUGGCUCAGAUGCGUGAAUUUGGUGUUGGUGAACCUGCAGUGAAAGAGCAAAAGAUAGAGAGAAGCUCAGAGAGGUACCUGGCCAGGAACAGUGAGGCGAUGUCCCAUCUGUACACUGAUUACAGGGUAAACCCUGAUAUAGGCCAUCUUCCUAUGAACGACCUGCAGGUUCAUAUUCAUGGAGGCAGCAGUCUGGGUCUCGAUUCUCAAAUGAUGGAAAGCCCUGUUCUGCUUGACAACCGGGGCAAUGGCUCUGCUCAUAGACAUGGAGGCUAUGGACCUUCUGCACCGCAGCAGUUUGAUGGUCCAACAUGCCUGAAACUGGUUAAUCUGCCUUCGACUAUCAGAAUUGACGAAAUCUAUGACUUUUGCUAUGGAUAUCGUGUAAUUCCUGGAUCGGUCUCAUUGCAGUAUGACAACAAAGGGAUUCCCAAAGGCUCAGCAACGGUUGUUUUUGGAUCUCGCUUGGAGGCGUUAACGGCAGUUGAGGAAUUGAGUGGAAGACCAAUAGGCAGCAGAAAAGUAAAACUAGUUUUUGUGUGAAAUCCGUAUAGAACAGGAAAGAACCUUUUGGGGCUUUAAAAUGUGAUGUUUUAGGAAGAACAACUCACAGUAUUUGGUUAGUCUGAUGGAUUCCAACAAUGGCGACUGAACAAUUGUAGAUUUAAAAAAAUACUGUGUGUGUAUGUGUAUAUAGCCUUCUACUCAAUGUGUAACGGACAAACCUUUUGUCCAUAGUUUUUUUCCCCCCCUUAAAGAAUAACAAAAUGAUUUAUUUGUAUUUUGCCCAUCGCUUGCUUGUCAUGUAGCCUGUUUCUGAAGCUUUUUCUUUUUAGUGAAAUUUGCCUGAAAUUGUAUUUUCUUUAACAGCUGGGUGAAGGUAAAACUUAAUUUUGCUACUAUUUGUUUAAAUGUUUAUUGCAUUCUGUAGUGUAAAAGUUGUCCAUUUAAACUUAGUGGAAAUUCUUUGAUUAAAAUUCAUAAUGUUCUCCUGUUGUCAUCUUCCAAGAUUGUCUAAGAUAUUGUGUUGUAUGAUAAAUACUGCAUUGCCCAUGGUCCUUUUUUCUCCCUGUGGUCAAUCUGGUGGUCUUUGGAAUCAGAAUGACCAUGAAUGCAAUGUUAUUUUACUUCAACUGGGGGGGACACGCUAACACUCAAAUUGUUAAGUAUCUAUAUACGUUAGGUAUUCCCCAAAUCAUACUGCAAGUUAUGCAGGAUUUAACACAAGCAAAGGGUGUAACUGUCUGCAUUCACUCCCUUUUUUAUUUGAUUCUGUUGCAGAUGCAUGUAUUUAGUUCGUCAGGAGCAGUGAGAAUAAAGCCCGAGUUUAGAAGGCAGGAGACUUUCACGCUUUACUGAGGAUCUGUGAAUUGCACCUACAUUAAUUCCAGCUACCCAAUUUCCAGAAGUAACCAAGAGUUGGACUACGGUGACCAAAGGAUAGAAUGUUGUUCACUAUUCUCACAGAAAUGACGGUUUUCCCCUUUAAACCUUGAAGUAAUAACUGGGUGGCCGGUAGCCUAGCGGUUAGAGCUUUGGGCCAGUAAUCAAAAGGUCACUGGUUCGAAUACCUUGGAGAAGGGCCCUAAGAAUGGUCAAGAACUCCACCCACCCAAGUCAUAGACUGUUCAUUCUGCUACCGUACAGCAAGCUCGGGCCUCCUGAGUGGUGCAGCGAUCUAAGGCACAAUAUCUCAGUGCCUGAGGCAUCACUACAGGCACCCUGGUUCGAAUCCGGGCUGUAUCACACCCAGCCGUGAUUGGAGUCACAAUCAGCACACAAUUGGCCCAGCAUUGUCUGGGUAGGGCUGGUGUAGGUUGUCAUUGUAAAUAAGAAUUUGUUCUUAACCGACUUGCCUAGUUAAAAAGGAAAAAAAGCUGUACCGGGGCGCCAGGUCGGGAACCAAAAGGCUCCUUAACAGCUUCUACCACCAAACCAUAAGGCAGCUGAGAAACUCAUACGAACACUUUCUCACACAUCACAUGCUGCUGUUACGUUAUCCUGAUUACCUCGUCUCUUUUACCCCUACCUACAUGUACAAAUUACCUCAACUACCUCGUACCCCUGCACAUUGACCUGGAUGGAAGUGUCAAGGAGGCGGAUCUUACAGAAGCACCUGCAGCCAGCCAGACCACUGCGGCGCUGCAGUACUGACCAGGAUUCCUGCUUUAGAAAUGAGCCAUCUGCGUGUGGACAAGCUGGAGAAAAAACAAUUAACAGUAUUGGAGUGGAACAGUUUUUUGAAAUCCUCCAUCUCCAUACUCAGACACCACAAAAAGACUCCACCCCAACUAAAGUGAGGAUAUCUUACACUAGAGACUUCCUGAUUCAACUGGCCAGUUCCCCCAUUGCCAAAAGAAAACCGGACUUCUUACCAGAACAUCCUGUUGUUUUGGAAAAGGCGCGAGAACCUGGUGUGCCAUGGUUGGAGAAGAGGUUUGAUGAAAACAAUGAAAUGCUUGCCUAGGCUAACAUGGAGCCAGGAAGUCUGGUUGCUGCUGCUGCUUUUCAAACCACACACCACUACAACUUGCUCUGCCAUUGAGUGAUAUACCAACAACAACAACAAAAAUCCCAGUUGAGCCCAGAACACCACAGGCGUCCCAAAUAGCACCCUAUGUCCUAUUUAGUGCACUACUUUUGACCAGGGUCGAUAGGGUUCAGAUCAUAAACAGCCAUGACCAUGAGAGUUGUAAGCGAGAGGUGUAUAUAUAUAUAUAUAUAUAUUUUUUUUUCCUUUGACAAAUGUUGGUUCCUUUGGUGGACACAAACCUGAAAAUGUACCGUAGCCUACAUGUUUUAAAUGGUGUGUUUCAGUCUAAAAUAAUAAUGCGUGGUUGAAUGAUGUGCCUUGAUGCUAACAAAUGCCCCUUGCACUGUGUGAUGUUUACAUAUGGCAUAAUGCUAAUAACGCCUCAGUUGGAGGCCAUUGACUCUGAGUAACCUUACAACGACCUCCCAAGACCAACACUACAUUCAUUUAACCCUUUCACUUUUUCAUAUGUUGGAGUAUGGGUGUUUUAGGUUUGAUAUUGUCACUGAAGAUUGAUUAUUGACUUAUAUCAACUAGUUGAAUGUUGAAGUAUAGGCCUGCUGCAUAACUUGUCUCUAUUCCCCCAUUGAAAACUGAGCCUGCCUUUGCACACUAUCCUUCUGAGGGUCAGUCCUGUAGUCACAUCAAAUAAUACAUCUCUCCCCCACUUCUCUGAGGGUCAGUCCUGUAAUCACAUCAAAUAGUACAUCUCUCCCCCACUCCUCUGAGGGUCAGUCCUGUAGUCACAUCAAAUACUACAUCUCUCCCCCACUUCUCUGAGGGUCAGUCCUGUAAUCACAUCAAAUAGUACAUCUCUCCCCCACUCCUCUGAGGGUCAGUCCUGUAGUCACAUCAAAUAGUACAUCUCUCCCCCACUUCUCUGAGGGUCAGUCCUGUAGUCACAUCAAAUAGUACAUCUCUCCCCCACUUCUCUGAGGGUCAGUCCUGUAGUCACAUCAAAUGGUGCAUCUCUCCCCCACUUCUCUGAGGGUCAGUCCUGUAGUCACAUCAAAUAGUACAUCUCUCCCCCACUCCUCUGAGGGUCAGUCCUGUAGUCACAUCAAAUAAUACAUCUCUCCCCCACUCCUCUGAGGGUCAGUCCUGUAGUCACAUCAAAUAGUACAUCUCUCCCCCACUUCUCUGAGGGUCAGUCCUGUAGUCACAUCAAAUAAUACAUCUCUCCCCCACUCCUCUGAGGGUCAGUCCUCUAGUCAUAUCAAAUAGUACAUCUCUCCCCCACUUCUCUGAGGGUCAGUCCUCUAGUCAUAUCAAAUAGUACAUCUCUCCCCCACUUCUCUGAGGGUCAGUCCUGUAGUCACAUCAAAUGGUGCAUCUCUCCCCCACUUCUCUGAGGGUCAGUCCUGUAGUCACAUCAAAUAGUACAUCUCUCCCCCACUCCUCUGAGGGUCAGUCCUGUAGUCACAUCAAAUAAUACAUCUCUCCCCCACUCCUCUGAGGGUCAGUCCUGUAGUCACAUCAAAUAGUACAUCUCUCCCCCACUCCUCUGAGGGUCAGUCCUGUAGUCACAUCAAAUAGUACAUCUCUCCCCCACUCCUCUGAGGGUCAGUCCUCUAGUCAUAUCAAAUAGUACAUCUCUCCCCUACUGCACCUUUUCUCAGUUUAUUCUAUAGUAGUUGAAUGUGAAUAACAGCUGUGUAAAUUAGCACAGAGUUAGUGAAACCCGUCGCCUUGACUUGCCUGUGUACAUAAGGGGUAGUUUAUUAUGCAGCUUGUGUUCGGAGACUGUUGUGGUUCUAGUGUGGAAUGGGGAGACUGUUGUGGUUCUAGUGUGGAAUGGGGAGACUGUUGUGGUUCUAGUGUGGAAUGGGGAGACUGUUGUGGUUCUAGUGUGGAAUGGGGAGACUGUUGUGGUUCUAGUGUGGAAUGGGGAGACUGUUGUGGUUCUAGUGUGGAAUGGGGAGACUGUUGUGGUUCUAGUGUGGAAUGGGGAGACUGUUGUGGUUCUAGUGUGGAAUGGGGAGACUGUUGUGGUUCUAGUGUGGAAUGGGGAGACUGUUGUGGUUCUAGUGUGGAAUGGGGGAAAUUGAGUGCCUGUUUAUUUUUGAAGUGUAUUUAUUUAAUUUAUCCUUAUUUUGUUAUAAGCUAUUUGCCUAUCGAGGCUUAGUCAUGAUGGCGGGCUUCAUUCCAAGAUGUUGGCUUUUUGUUGAUACAAGGCUGAGAGGACUUUCCUAUGCUAAUGUAAAGGGACUGCCAAAGUGUAACCAUGUAUUUUCAGAUAUGCAGUAGGUUAAAUAAGUGCCCCCCCCCCCCCCCCCCCACAUUGAUUUUGACUUUCAAGUUGCACAUUGUGAAGAUAGUACACAAAAUUAAAUAGGCUAUGGUGCACAUCCUCUCCUUGCUCCAAGACGUAUGAGCUGAUCUGGGAUCUGCCCUAAUAGCCCUGUACAUUUCUGUGCUCUUAUAAAAAAUAAAAAAAUGUAUGACAAA